GAUGAAGAACGUAGCGAAAUGCGAUAAGUAAUGUGAAUUGCAGAAUUCAGUGAAUCAUCGAAUCUUUGAACGCACCUUGCGCCCUUUGGCCAUUCCGAAGGGCAUGCCUGUUUGAGUAUCAUGAACACCUCAACUCUCAUGGCUCGCCAUGAUGAGCUUGGAUUUGGGGGUCUUGCUGGCCUGUGGUCGGCUCCUCUCAAAUGGAUCAGCUUGCCAGUGUUUGGUGGCAUCACAGGUGUGAUAACUAUCUGCGCUUGUGGUUUUCCAUCAGAUAACCUUCAGUGAUGGAGGUUCGCUGGAGCUCAUAAAUGUCUCCCCUAAGCGGGGACAGCCCUUUGAAUGUUUGAUCUCAAAUCAGGUAGGACUACCCGCUGAACUUAAGCAUAUCAAUAAGCGGAGGA
rnacentral:misc_RNA from 1 species